rnacentral:rRNA from 1 species
GGGUUGUGAGGUUAAGCGACUAAGCGUACACGGUGGAUGCCCUGGCAGUCAGAGGCGAUGAAGGACGUGCUAAUCUGCGAAAAGCGUCGGUAAGGUGAUAUGAACCGUUAUAGCCGGCGAUGUCCGAAUGGGGAAACCCAGUGUGAUUCGUCACACUAUCGUUAACUGAAUACAUAGGUUAACGAGGCGAACCGGGGGAACUGAAACAUCUAAGUACCCCGAGGAAAAGAAAUCAACCGAGAUUCCCCCAGUAGCGGCGAGCGAACGGGGAGCAGCCCAGAGUCUGAAUCAGCUUGUGUGUUAGUGGAACGGUCUGGAAAGUCCGACGGUACAGGGUGAUAGUCCCGUACACCAAAAUGCACAGGCUGUGAACUCGAAGAGUAGGGCGGGACACGUGGUAUCCUGUCUGAAUAUGGGGGGACCAUCCUCCAAGGCUAAAUACUCCUGACUGACCGAUAGUGAACCAGUACCGUGAGGGAAAGGCGAAAAGAACCCCGGCGAGGGGAGUGAAAAAGAACCUGAAACCGUGUACGUACAAGCAGUGGGAGCACCUUCGGGUGUGACUGCGUACCUUUUGUAUAAUGGGUCAGCGACUUAUAUUCUGUAGCAAGGUUAACCGUAUAGGGGAGCCGCAGGGAAACCGAGUCUUAACUGGGCGUUAAGUUGCAGGGUAUAGACCCGAAACCCGGUGAUCUAGCCAUGGGCAGGUUGAAGGUUGGGUAACACUAACUGGAGGACCGAACCGACUAAUGUUGAAAAAUUAGCGGAUGACUUGUGGCUGGGGGUGAAAGGCCAAUCAAACCGGGAGAUAGCUGGUUCUCCCCGAAAGCUAUUUAGGUAGCGCCUCGUGAACUCAUCUUCGGGGGUAGAGCACUGUUUCGGCUAGGGGGUCAUCCCGACUUACCAACCCGAUGCAAACUACGAAUACCGAAGAAUGUUAUCACGGGAGACACACGGCGGGUGCUAACGUCCGUCGUGAAGAGGGAAACAACCCAGACCGCCAGCUAAGGUCCCAAAGUCAUGGUUAAGUGGGAAACGAUGUGGGAAGGCACAGACAGCCAGGAUGUUGGCUUAGAAGCAGCCAUCAUUUAAAGAAAGCGUAAUAGCUCACUGGUCGAGUCGGCCUGCGCGGAAGAUGUAACGGGGCUAAACCAUGCACCGAAGCUGCGGCAGCGACACUAUGUGUUGUUGGGUAGGGGAGCGUUCUGUAAGCCUGCGAAGGUGACCUGUGAGGGUUGCUGGAGGUAUCAGAAGUGCGAAUGCUGACAUAAGUAACGAUAAAGCGGGUGAAAAGCCCGCUCGCCGGAAGACCAAGGGUUCCUGUCCAACGUUAAUCGGGGCAGGGUGAGUCGACCCCUAAGGCGAGGCCGAAAGGCGUAGUCGAUGGGAAACAGGUUAAUAUUCCUGUACUUGGUGUUACUGCGAAGGGGGGACGGAGAAGGCUAUGUUAGCCGGGCGACGGUUGUCCCGGUUUAAGCAUGUAGGCUGAUUGUCCAGGCAAAUCCGGAUAAUCAAGGCUGAGGUGUGAUGACGAGGCACUACGGUGCUGAAGUAACAAAUGCCCUGCUUCCAGGAAAAGCCUCUAAGCAUCAGGUAACAUUAAAUCGUACCCCAAACCGACACAGGUGGUCAGGUAGAGAAUACCAAGGCGCUUGAGAGAACUCGGGUGAAGGAACUAGGCAAAAUGGUGCCGUAACUUCGGGAGAAGGCACGCUGGUGUGUAGGUGAAGUCCCUGCGGAUGGAGCUGAGACCAGUCGAAGAUACCAGCUGGCUGCAACUGUUUAUUAAAAACACAGCACUGUGCAAACACGAAAGUGGACGUAUACGGUGUGACGCCUGCCCGGUGCCGGAAGGUUAAUUGAUGGGGUUAUCCGUAAGGAGAAGCUCUUGAUCGAAGCCCCGGUAAACGGCGGCCGUAACUAUAACGGUCCUAAGGUAGCGAAAUUCCUUGUCGGGUAAGUUCCGACCUGCACGAAUGGCGUAAUGAUGGCCAGGCUGUCUCCACCCGAGACUCAGUGAAAUUGAACUCGCUGUGAAGAUGCAGUGUACCCGCGGCAAGACGGAAAGACCCCGUGAACCUUUACUAUAGCUUGACACUGAACAUUGAGCCUUGAUGUGUAGGAUAGGUGGGAGGCUUUGAAGCGUGGACGCCAGUCUGCGUGGAGCCAACCUUGAAAUACCACCCUUUAAUGUUUGAUGUUCUAACGUUGGCCCCUGACCGGGGUUGCGGACAGUGUCUGGUGGGUAGUUUGACUGGGGCGGUCUCCUCCCAAAGCGUAACGGAGGAGCACGAAGGUUAGCUAAUCCUGGUCGGACAUCAGGAGGUUAGUGCAAUGGCAUAAGCUAGCUUGACUGCGAGCGUGACGGCGCGAGCAGGUGCGAAAGCAGGUCAUAGUGAUCCGGUGGUUCUGAAUGGAAGGGCCAUCGCUCAACGGAUAAAAGGUACUCCGGGGAUAACAGGCUGAUACCGCCCAAGAGUUCAUAUCGACGGCGGUGUUUGGCACCUCGAUGUCGGCUCAUCACAUCCUGGGGCUGAAGUAGGUCCCAAGGGUAUGGCUGUUCGCCAUUUAAAGUGGUACGCGAGCUGGGUUUAGAACGUCGUGAGACAGUUCGGUCCCUAUCUGCCGUGGGCGCUGGAGAAUUGAGGGGGGCUGCUCCUAGUACGAGAGGACCGGAGUGGACGCAUCACUGGUGUUCGGGUUGUCAUGCCAAUGGCACUGCCCGGUAGCUAAAUGCGGAAGAGAUAAGUGCUGAAAGCAUCUAAGCACGAAACUUGCCCCGAGAUGAGUUCUCCCUGAGACUUUAAGUCUCCUGAAGGAACGUUGAAGACGACGACGUUGAUAGGCCGGGUGUGUAAGCGCAGCGAUGCGUUGAGCUAACCGGUACUAAUGAACCGUGAGGCUUAACCUUACAACGCCGAAG